AGCAUCCCAGAGCUGACCCCAGGGCAGGCCCUCAGAGGCACUUGGUGCUGGAUGAAUGAAUGAGCAGGGGAAGAACUAGUCAAUUAGGGACAGAAAUGCAAGACAGGAGAAAGGUCCAGAGUGUGAUUGUCUGCCUGCUGUGUGGAGGGACAGAAACUCGAUGUUGAGAGGCUGGACAGGAUUGCCAGGAGUGAGGGUGGGGUGGAGCUGCUUCUGGGGGCAGAAUCUUGAGGGUAAAGGCAGAGAGUAACCAGAUGGCAGACAGAAUCGGCAGCUACUAAGGGGUGAGAGAGGUGAGCGUUGCAGAAUCCUUGGGAGAAGCCUUUCAUCUUAGCGGAUCUGUGGGCAGCGGCCUUUAGUGGAACAAUCAACUGACAUCCCCAGAUGAUCACUGUCCACGCUGAAAGUCACCGCAGUGGAAGAACUUCUCUUCAUGCACAGGGCAGGCAGGUUCAGAACCAGGGGAGAAGGAAAAUGAAAGUUAAGAGAAAGAAUGGUAUGAGCUGAAGCAAAGGAUGGUUCAGAAAGGGGGAGAGAUUAGGAGAGCGCGUGGGAAGUGCCCCCUGCUUGGGUUCUGCUCCGGUAGUGUGGGAUUUGGAGGAGGAUCAAGGUCAGAGGCCCAGUCGACCUUCCCAAGGCCCCGGCCCCGCUGCAGUCCCUCGCACCCACGCCUUGACUCUGGGCUAUGACUCCUGUCUUCUGCUCGGUGCGGGGACUCGUGGAAGGAUUUGAUUCGCGCUUGAGAAAGAUCGCUCCGCUCCUGUAAGGAAGAGAGCGUGUAGGGGCUGCAACCAGAGACACAGUCAGAAGCUCCGAGGCUACCGCGAUGGUCCAGGUGAGAAUGGAGGGGCCUAACUAAACCAGUGGCGGGAGGGAUGGAAGAAUGAACUGAGACACUUGGGAGGUGAAUGGAAUCGAGCGACUGCAUGUGGAGGUGUGAG
rnacentral:lncRNA from 10 species